rfam:Salmo salar isolate Sally breed double haploid chromosome ssa05, whole genome shotgun sequence.
UAAAACAAUGUAGGUAAGGGAAGUCGGCAAGUCAGAUCCGUAACUUCGGGAUAAGGAUUAGCUCUAAGGGCUGGGUCGGUCAGGCUGGGGGAGCAGUCGCUCCGUCACCCUCCUCUCGCCACUGUUGGAAGUUCGUUAUGGGGCCCAUCUCGCGGUCUCUCGUGCGUGGUCUCGCAAGGGGCUGUGUGCGGGGCUUCGUCGGGUGGUGUCUGUUGGCAGGCCAAAGGUGGACCUGUGGAGGAUUGGGUCAGGCAGUUGGUGGCGGCGACUCUGGACCCGUGCUAGGCUAUUCUCGCGGAUCUCCCCAGCUACGGCGCUCGCCGGCCCUGUUCUAAGUCGGCGCCUAGCAGCUGACUUAGAACUGGUGCGGACCAGGGGAUUCCGACUGUUUAAUUAAAACAAUUCAUUGCGAAGGCCCGGGGUGGGUGUUGACGUGAUGUGAUUUCUGCCCAGUGCUCUGAAUGUCAAAGUGAAGAAUUUCAAUGAAGCACGAGUAAAUGGCGGGAGUAACAAUGACUCUCUUAAAGAGUCCGUAGCCUUAGUAAGGGACAUAACGAGGUAGCCUUCUAGUAGGGCUCUUCCAAUCCCUCCCUGUAUGUCACCUGUUUUCAGGUGUCGCUAACGAUGCAAACCAAACGGGAGUUACCUCGCUACUUGUCCGUACACAAAGAGAGUCCUGCAGAUGGUGACGGCUGUUGAUCUUUAACGGAAGGCAGCAGUCGGUCCUGGAAUAUGGGGCUUUCGGUCAAGCAUGAAAAUGUGAGGGCAGUUCCACCAAACUCAAUGAUUUGCUGCGGGGCUUUUGCAAACAAAUUCUGACCUUGACAGGAAGCCAAUCAGAGAAUGAUGGCUUGAACGCAUCCCUGGCUUUGGCUGGGAGAGGGGAGUUAAGUCCUGGGAGAAGGCUGAUGAAAGUGUACUACUCGCAUCAGUCUGAUCACAGAGCGGCUAUGGUGAAACAUUUAAACACACGUCCCCCGUAUACUUAGCUAACUGUAAACCGCAAAGGUUUGAAUCGAAUGCUGGCUUCGGCUGGACCCGCUAACAGUGGAACACUAAAUGGAGAUGGAAUGUGCUUAGCGGUUAUGGACACUGCAAGGUCUCAGGUCCGCCUGGGUGUGGAACUCUACACAUUCUAUGUGGGAGCUCUUCUCCACGCUCCUUGGAGCAUGGAGGAGAGCAUGUGGAGCUUGUGGAGAUGGCAUGUGCCUUACCAUUAGCUGACACUACCAGGCCUCAAGCUUGCCUGAGUGCGAGACACCCCACAUUGUAGAUGGGGAGGUCUCACCUACGCUCACUAAACUCGAAGCGGAGACUAAACCCAUUGGCCUUUCAGUGAUCGGGCAUUGCAUGGAUCUGGAUCUUGCCCUAUGAAGUGGGGAGAGGUAUCUCCAGCUUGUCUGGGGAGGGAGGCCUACAUCUGAUGUGGGUAAUACCAUCCACGCCCAUUGAUUUGCUGCGGACCCAUAAAAUGGACAAAAGAAGCCUAGGUUCACACUGGGCACAGAUCACUGAAUGUCAACUUGAUGAAAUUCAAAGGAGCAUACCCACCCGUCGCGGUCGCACUCAAUUCACCCAAGCACAUUUAGUGCAUGUGCUUGGCUGAGGAGCCAAUGGUGCGAAGCUACCAUCUGUGGGAUUAUGACUGAACGUCUCUAAAUCAGAAUCCCCCCCUAAACGUAACGAUACCGUAGCACCACAGAUCUUCGGAUGGCCCAGGAUAGCCUGCAUCUUUUGGCAGGUGAGUAGAGCCGUUCGUGACGGGGUUGGAGUGCGGCCGGAUGAGUUGCCACCCCUCUCCUGAUGUGCACAGCAUUUUGUGGGGAACCUGGUGCUAAAUCCCUUGUAGAUGACCUGAAUCUGGGUCAGGGUUUUGUACGUAGCAGAGCAGCUCGCUCGCUGCAAUCUAUUGAAAGUCAGCCCUCGAUCCAAGCUUUU